CCUACGGGUGGCAGCAGUGGGGAAUAUUGGACAAUGGGGGGAACCCUGAUCCAGCCAUGCCGCGUGUGUGAAGAAGGCCCUCGGGUGGUAAAGCACUUUCAGUGAGGAAGAACGCCUGGUGGUUAAUACCCAUCAGGAAAGACAUCACUCACAGAAGAAGCACCGGCUAACUCCGUGCCAGCAGCCGCGGUAAUACGGAGGGUGCGAGCGUUAAUCGGAAUUACUGGGCGUAAAGCGCGCGUAGGUGGCUUGAUAAGCCGGUUGUGAAAGCCCCGGGCUCAACCUGGGAACGGCAUCCGGAACUGUCAAGCUAGAGUGCAGGAGAGGAAGGUAGAAUUCCCGGUGUAGCGGUGAAAUGCGUAGAGAUAGGGAGGAAUACCAGUGGCGAAGGCGGCCUUCUGGACUGACACUGACACUGAGGUGCGAAAGCGUGGGUAGCAAACAGGAUUAGAUACCCCAGUAGUC
rnacentral:rRNA from 1 species